rnacentral:rRNA from 1 species
GUCGACGAUGAACCACAUUCGGUGGGGAUUAGUGGCGAACGGGUGAGUAACACGUGGGCAAUCUGCCCUGCACUCUGGGACAAGCCCUGGAAACGGGGUCUAAUACCGGAUAUGAGUCUCCAUCGCAUGGUGGGGGCUGUAAAGCUCCGGCGGUGCAGGAUGAGCCCGCGGCCUAUCAGCUUGUUGGUGAGGUAACGGCUCACCAAGGCGACGACGGGUAGCCGGCCUGAGAGGGCGACCGGCCACACUGGGACUGAGACACGGCCCAGACUCCUACGGGAGGCAGCAGUGGGGAAUAUUGCACAAUGGGCGAAAGCCUGAUGCAGCGACGCCGCGUGAGGGAUGACGGCCUUCGGGUUGUAAACCUCUUUCAGCAGGGAAGAAGCGAAAGUGACGGUACCUGCAGAAGAAGCGCCGGCUAACUACGUGCCAGCAGCCGCGGUAAUACGUAGGGCGCGAGCGUUGUCCGGAAUUAUUGGGCGUAAAGAGCUCGUAGGCGGCUUGUCACGUCGGUUGUGAAAGCCCGGGGCUUAACCCCGGGUCUGCAGUCGAUACGGGCAGGCUAGAGUUCGGUAGGGGAGAUCGGAAUUCCUGGUGUAGCGGUGAAAUGCGCAAUAUCAGGAGGAACACCGGUGGCGAAGGCGGAUCUCUGGGCCGAUACUGACGCUGAGGAGCGAAAGCGUGGGGAGCGAACAGGAUUAGAUACCCUGGUAGUCCACGCCGUAAACGGUGGGCACUAGGUGUGGGCAACAUUCCACGUUGUCCGUGCCGCAGCUAACGCA